rnacentral:misc_RNA from 1 species
UCUCCGUUGGUGAAUCAGCGGAGGGAUCAUUACUGGAAUCGCAAGAUCCCACAACCCUGUGAACCUACCGAAACGUUGCCUCGGCGGGUGCCCGGCCUCUGCGCCGGGCGCUGCGCCCGCCGGCGGCCCCCUACUCUGUCUCUGCAGCGUGGCAUCUCAGAGUCCCAGAAAACAAGUCAAAACUUUCAACAACGGAUCUCUUGGCUCUA